CAGCUGUUCUUUGGCAAGUUUCACCCACCUGGAAAGAAAGAUUGAGCUUACUUCUCCUAAAGGCUGAAUAAAAAGAGGAGGCAGAGAGUGCUUGCAGCUGGUGGUGAAACAUGGCUGGCUGGUACAGGUGCCUCAGCUGCACCACUCUGCCGAGUGAUGGUGUUUUUGCCAGAAGGCCACGGAGGCCUUUUGAUAAAUUUGUGUGCUCUGUGCCUGUAAUAACAGGUUGAAAGGACUGUCCGCUCACCUCCAGCUCCUGCUGGCAACCAUAGACCUCUGCUGGGCACUGCUGGACUCUUUAUGCCCUGGAAGUUGGCACGCCUGGUGAAAGAUCCUUUAUGAGACGGACACUUACGCAUCUUGGACAUGAGGACCACAGAAUUUGUAAUAAGUUUUGUGGAACAGAAGUCUUUUUGGCUAUGCUGGAAUGACAUGGGAGUGUAUUCCUCCUGCAACCCAGGAGCAUUUCUGAAGAGCUUUACGGACUGCGUGGAUCAGAAAGAGACUUUCUAAUGAACACAUUUCAGGACAUCUGCAAGUUCUUAGGAGACCAUAGGUAUGCCCCCCCAAGAGGUCUAUCCUUUAAGUCAAGUGGGACAUUCUGUGAGGACUCUUGUUUUCUAAGGAGCAGCCUUUGACA
rnacentral:lncRNA from 1 species